GACGAACGCUGGCGGCGUGCUUAACACAUGCGAGUCGAACGGAAAGGCCCUGCUUUUGUGGGGUGCUCGAGUGGCGAACGGGUGAGUAACACGUGAGUAACCUGCCCUUGACUUUGGGAUAACUUCAGGAAACUGGGGCUAAUACCGGAUACGAGCUCCUGCUGCAUGGUGGGGGUUGGAAAGUUUCGGCGGUUGGGGAUGGACUCGCGGCUUAUCAGCUUGUUGGUGGGGUAGUGGCUUACCAAGGCUUUGACGGGUAGCCGGCCUGAGAGGGUGACCGGCCACAUUGGGACUGAGAUACGGCCCAGACUCCUACGGGAGGCAGCAGUGGGGAAUAUUGCACAAUGGGCGGAAGCCUGAUGCAGCAACGCCGCGUGCGGGAUGACGGCCUUCGGGUUGUAAACCGCUUUCGCCUGUGACGAAGCGUGAGUGACGGUAAUGGGUAAAGAAGCACCGGCUAACUACGUG
rnacentral:rRNA from 1 species